AUCCCACGUCCAAGGUCACUUAGCUAGUAAGUGACAGAGCCAGGAUUUGAACCCAGGCAAUUUGAAACUAGAGCUUAAGCUUAUAGCCACUAGGAUGCAGCAGAUGCAGAAAGAAGAUAGAAAAGAGAUGCAAAACGGACAUCACCUAGACUAGCAUAUACAUGGAAUGAUCAAUAAGUAUCUGUAAAAUCAAUGCAUUAAUUAAAAGCAAAAAAAGCACACAACAAUUGCUUUAUUUUCCCACUCUGCAGGGUCUCAGAGAUACAGAAUUGCACAGAGAGAGUCCCAGUCCACAGAGAAGGUGAAAACAUAAAUGAUCUCGAGUGUUGCUGACUCUCACAUCCAACAGAGCAUCCAACAGAGGCUCACACAGGUGGCCAUCUGACCAAAGCCAGCCCUCUAAAUAGAAGUUUCCAUAACGUGGUGCAACUCCACCCAGCAGGCCUUGGGAAGCCGCUGCUAUCUGUGAGCGUCCAAGGGAGAGCUUUGGUUGGGAGCCUGCUAUUGCUCAUGGAGCUGUGAGCACAGCGGGACAGCAUGUGCUCGUCUCCACUGUUGGCUCUGCCUGAAGAUGGGGACUCCGUACUGCGUUCCUCCUUGGGUGAGACUGUCAAAGAGCUGGGUCCCUCAGGCCACAAAAGAGUGGGGUAGGAGAAUCAGAGACUUAGUCCAGGUUCUACAACUAACCAAUCCAUCUAUUUAUCAUCCAUCCAUCCAUCCAUCCAUCCAUCAUCCAUCCAUACAUCAUACAUCCAUCUAUCCAUCCAUCCAUCUAUCCAUCCAUCCAUUCAUCCAUCCAUCCAUCCAUCCAUCCAUCCAUCCAUCCUUUUAUCCAUCCAUCCAUCCAUCCAUCCAUCCAUCCAUCCUUUUAUCCAUCCAUCUAAGGACUGUUUAUUGAGCACCUACCAUGUUUCAGACACCCCAUGCUAUACUUUGAAGAGACAGAAAUAAAAUAGACACAGACUGCACUAUCCUCAUAAAGUCUACAGUCAGGUGGGAAAGGCAGAUAUCAAAAAUGUAGUAAUAGAUGAAGAUUUGGGAGCAACCAAAACGUCCAUUGAUAGAUUGGUUAAAUGCAAUUUGGCUUAUUCUAGCAUGAGAUACCAUGUGGCCCUUAAAUGAAGCAGAUCCCUAUAUGGUGACAGAACAACACCUAAGUGACAAAAGUGAAGGCACAGGCAAUGACUGCACUUCAUGUCCAUUUCUACAAAACAAGAGCCUUGGAUAGGCUUUGAUAUAUUGGUUCUUGUAGAGAAGGUCUCUGGAAGGAUCUGCAGGAAAUUGGGAAAAGUUGGUGUCUAGUGAGAAAGCUGGGGUACUAGGGUUCAAAGAGGUGAGAGAGUUUUUGUGCUGCUUGAAUGUUUUAUUUUGAAUGUUUUAUUUUUUGAAUGUGUAAUGUUUUGUCAAUAAUAUGGCAAGGAAAUUUUAGAGAUGUUGGUCAAAGAAUACAAAAUUUCAGUUAGACAGGAGGAAUAAAUUCGAG
rnacentral:lncRNA from 1 species